CUCUCCUAAAACUCCACUAUGUUCCCCUCCUUUGCAGCACCAACAAGCCUUUCUCUUUCUCAUGAUCGAACGGCAUAUCAAAAUCCUUCCUCUAAUUCUUUUCAAUACCAUCCUGUGACCAACGAUGAUGACACAAAUGAACAUUUUUUUGAAGAUAUCUUGGAUAAUUAUCAUUCACUAAUCGAUCAACCAAGUUAUCAAGACUCUAUUCCUUUGGAUUUUGCAGCCCAUUUAAGUAGGAGUAAUGAGCAAGCUCCAGUCUUGCAAGAAAUGACCACAGUCGGAACUAGAUAUAACCAAGAUUAUAGUUGUUUGGAUUUCGCAGACUAUUUUAGAACAAAUGACCAAAAUAUGCACUUCCAAGAAACAAUCACAGCUGGUCCUUGUUUUGAAAAUACAGACAACUCCAUUAAAAUUUCCUUCAUGCCACGACCCAACAAUUUUCACAUGCAAGUGUUUUGUUGAUUUCUCGCUUGUUAUAUAUAUGUAUGUAUCAUAUAUAUCUAACUUUUUUUUUUAUCUUGCAACAUUAGAGAGGUCAUGAGAGAAAGGGUGCAUGCCGGAUUUAAGGUUGCCCUUCGUAUGAAGACCAACCUUGAGGUCGUGGAUGAUGGAUAUAAAUGGAGAAAGUAUGGGAAGAAGAAGGUUAAAAGCAGUCCUUAUCCAAGCCUAGGGAUUGAAGUGCGAAAUUCCACAUACGAAGGUCCAUGUUUCAAGUUUUGCAAUGCCCAAAAUAUUAUGAGUGCUCCGACCUCCCAUAUAAUGGACCUUGGGGCAGGUUCCGAAUAAUUUCUUUUGCAAACCAUCCAAUUAGUUGUUUUUCCUUUUAUGGGAGGGAGGAGGAAAAAAAAAAAAAGGAGCAAAAAAAAUAAGAUACUACCUCAUGUUUUUUAAUACAUAAGAAUUAUACCAUCAAUAUGAUUAAUGUAUGGAUAUUAACAUAUAACUCUUUUAAGCAUAAUGAGAUAUUAAAAUGCAUAUCUUGAUUCGGUCGAGAUAUAUUCACAUCAUUAGGUUUUAGCCUUUUAGGUAACAAGUUAUUCGGUGUCUUUUAACUGUGUCCAAUUAUUUCUACAUUAGUUCAAUCUCAAUCUCUUUGAAUAGUCCAUUUUGCUACAUCAAUAACUAAUUUAUAUUUUUAAUAAAUUUUUAAUUAUUUAUAAUUAGUAAUUAUUCGAUAAAUAUAUUUAUAUACCAACCGUCUUUUGUGUUUGAGUAUUUUUAUUUUUAUUUAUUGAUGUGAUUGAUGUUAGGAAAUAGCCUAUG